rnacentral:rRNA from 1 species
GCAGUCGACGAGAAGCCUGGCUUGCCAGGCGAGUAAAGUGGCGCACGNNNNGAGUAACGCGUGGGUAAUCUACCUUUGUCUGGGGGAUAACCUACCGAAAGGUGGGCUAAUACCGCAUAACGUGAUCGAGUUGCGAUUUGAUCACCAAAGAAGGCCUCUCCAUGGAAGCUUUCGGGUAAAGAUGAGCUCGCGUCCCAUUAGCUAGUUGGUAAGGUAAAAGCUUACCAAGGCGACGAUGGGUAGCUGGUCUGAGAGGAUGGCCAGCCACACUGGAACUGGAACACGGUCCAGACUCCUACGGGAGGCAGCAGUGAGGAAUCUUGCGCAAUGGGGGCAACCCUGACGCAGCAACGCCGCGUGAGUGAAGAAGGCCUUCGGGUCGUAAAGCUCUGUCAAGUGGGAAGAAUAGCUUUAAGACGAAUAAUCUUAAGGUAUGACGGUACCACUGGAGGAAGCACCGGCUAACUCCGUGCCAGCAGCCGCGGUAAUACGGAGGGUGCAAGCGUUAUUCGGAAUUAUUGGGCGUAAAGGGCGUGUAGGCGGCCAGACAAGUCAGAUGUGAAAGCCCGGGGCUCAACCCCGGAAGUGCAUUUGAAACUGUUUGGCUUGAGUGCGGGAGAGGAAAGCGGAAUUCCCAGUGUAGAGGUGAAAUUCGUAGAUAUUGGGAGGAACACCGGUGGCGAAGGCGGCUUUCUGGACCGACACUGACGCUGAGGCGCGAAAACGUGGGGAGCAAACAGGAUUAGAUACCCU